ACGGGGUGCAGCAGGCGCGAAACCUUUACACUGCACGACAGGCGGAUAGGGGGACUCCGAGUGCGAGGGCAUACAGUCCUCGCUUUUCUGUACCGUAAGUGGUACAGGAACAAGUGCUGGGCAAGCAAGGUGCCAGCCGCCGCCGGUAAUACCGGCAGCACGAGUGAUGGCCGAUCUUAUUGGGCCUAAAGCGUCCGUAGCCGGCCAGACAAGUCCGUUGGGAAAUCGACGUGCCUAACACGUUGGCGUCCAGCGGAAACUGUCUGGCUUGGGGCCGGAAGACUCGAGGGGUACGUCCGGGGUAGGAGUGAAAUCCCGUAAUCCUGGACGGACCGCCCAUGGGAAAGCACGUCGCGAAAACGGAUCCGACAGUGAGGGACGAAAGCUAGGGUCUCGAACCGGAUUAGAUACCCGGGUAGUCCUAGCCGUAAACACUGCCUGCUAGGUGUGGCACCCACUACGAGUGGGGGUGCUGCCGUAGGGAAGCCGCUAAGCAGGCCGCCUGGGAAGUACGUCCGCAAGGAUGAAACUUAAAGGAAUUGGCGGGGGAGCACGGGGCGGG
rnacentral:rRNA from 1 species